CGGGAUGUGGCGCAGCUUGGUAGCGCACCUGCUUUGGGAGCAGGGGGCCGUGGGUUCAAAUCCCACCAUCCCGACCA
rnacentral:tRNA from 1 species